rnacentral:rRNA from 1 species
CUUGAACGCUGGCGGCAGGCCUAACACAUGCAAGUCGAACGAGUGGCGGACGGGUGAGUCAUGUCUGGGAAACUGCCUGCUUGAGGGGGCUAACUAAUGGAAACGGUAGCUAAUACCGCAUACCAUCAGAUGUGCCCAGAUGGGAUUAGCUAGUUGGGGGGGUAACGGCUCACCAAGUCGCCGAUCCCUAGCUGGUCUGACAGGAGGAUCGGCCAAACGUGAACUGAGACACGGGCCAGACUCCUACGGGAGGCAGCAGUGGGGAAGAUUGCACAAGGGGCGCAAGCCUGAUGCAGCCAUGCCGCGUGUAUGACGAAGGCCUUCGGGUUGGAAAGUACUUUCAGCGGGGAGGCGUUACCCGCAGAAGAAGCACCGGCUAACUCCGUGCCAGCAGCCGCGGUAAUUC